GACUUUAAUCAACGAUUCCUAUGAAACGUGCCCGGUGCCACAAAGACUCCUUUGAUCUCACUAAAGGAAGGAAGGGGAUAGAGAAGAAAUCAAAUAGCAAAAGGAGGAAGAACCGAGGAUGGGAAAGCCCCCCGCCCAUGGGAGGCUGCUAAAUGAUGCCUUUCUCAUUAGAGCAGCUGGGUAGGAGCCUGUCCCAGCCUGGUGGCCCAUCCUGCUGGAGCGCGGGGGUCACUGGUGUUUGGCACAGGGGCUGGUGCAGGCUGGGGAUGCCCCUCGGCCAGCGGAUGCCACUGGGAGCCACAUAACCCCGGAGCCCCACCAGAGCUGCUCUGGCACGGCGGAGCUGGCAGCCGAGCCCGGAGCAGCAGCCAGAGGGGCCUGGAGGUGAAUUGUCCCCCAGGACGGGCUCUCGUCCCCCACCAGCGCUGCGUUAGGAGCCGGCGUGAGCGGCCACACGCUCCGGUGCGACGGUGAUGGGGAACAGAGGCAAAGGCAAAUUCCAACCCACCUCCCCAGCCCCAUCUCAGCCAGAGUGGGUCUGGGAUCACCGGAGUGUCCUAAAGAUACAAAAAGCCUAGAAAAUAAACCAAACACAAAAAUCAGAUGUAACUUGAA